GGUGCCGUGGCUUAGAUAGUUAUAGUGCCUGUCUUGUAAAGAGGAGAUCCUGUGUUCAAAUCCCAGCGGUACCU
rfam:Larimichthys crocea isolate SSNF unplaced genomic scaffold scaffold6, whole genome shotgun sequence.